UACUUGCCGAGUAACUGUCCAACUUCCAGAC
rnacentral:piRNA from 1 species